rnacentral:lncRNA from 1 species
ACUUAUAUAAACAGAUUAUAUAUACACAUGGUAACUUGAACGUGGGCUAUUAUAAUAAAUGAGUGAGAGGCCAAGAGGUCAGGAGGGGACCAAAAUCUGUAUUGAAACUUGCAAUCCAUCAUGUAGAAGCCCAAAUUUGCUGGGCCCAUUGUCCAAAUAAAAUAAAAUACAACAAACCCAAAAUUCAAUUCCAACUACCCAAACCUUAAGCCCAAAGUAAUCAGCCCACAAACUUAAAAUUUCAGCAGCAAACCCUAGCUACCUGCCGCAUGCCUUACGUGGCCUCCUCGUCUGCCACGCCUCCAGCCCACGCCUCCACUCGCACGCCUCUGCCACCACUGUCGGCCACGGGCACCUGCAAAGCCAACAAAAGGCACGCAACAACAGAAGAAACAAAUAGCAAAAAGACAAAGAAAUAGAAAUUAAAAGUUGUGUAGAUCGGCUAUAAAGGCCGAAAAUCUCUUCCUUGUAAGGUUCUUCUUCUUUUUACGAACAUCUAAAUAAAAAAGCAAGAAAAACAGAGAAAAUUUCAAAAGGAAAAACCUUUUUCGGUUCUUGUACUUAUUUUAUUUUUAUUUCUUUUAUUUUCGUUUUUUAUACUAAAUAUUGAAAUAAAAAGAGAGGGGGAGAAGAAGCGUACCUCGUCGCCUUGCAAGCCCGGCGUCGGUGCUCUCUUCGCCGUCGUCGGAGCCGAAAGUUGGGGGACUAAAGACCUUUUUCGGUUCCGCGGGUUGAGAGAGGCCAACCUUCGAGUACGCUGCGAAGGGAAGGUUAAAAAAACCCAUUUUUUUCGCCGUCGGCCGUUGGCCACGGCGGCGACGGCGCGACGGUGGCUUAGAGAAGCCCUAGGCCGAAUGUAGGGGAGGGUGUUGAGAAAAAAAUUGAGGCUCCCUCAGUU